rnacentral:piRNA from 1 species
UAGCUCAGAAGCAACGGAAUGAGGAUUGGU